UCUUCCUUGGUCUAGUGGUCAGGAUACCUGCUUGUCAUCGAACAAGUCGCAGGUGGCCGGGGUUCGAUUCCCCGAGGGAGAG